GAAAAACUGCAAUGAGUGGACUCUUAUUUGCGCAGUAUUAGGGGGGAGGCUUUGAUCCAUUGCUUGCGGGGUUAUGGGAGCCCUCAGUGAGAUACCACUCUGGUCAUGUUAGAUUUCUAAAUUUGUAUCGUAUCUGGUCAAAGAAAAGUUUCAGGCGGGCAGUUUGACUGGGCGGUCGCCUCCCAAAAGGUAACGGAGGCGCACAAAGGUUUCCUCUGAACGGGUGGAAAUCGUAUCUCGAGUGUAAAGGCAUAAGGAAGCUUGACUGUGAGACCUACAAGUCGAACAGGGACGAAAGUCGGUCUUAGUGAUCUGACGGUGCUGAGUGGAAAGGCCGUCACUCAACGGAUAAAAGUUACUCUAGGGAAACAGGCUGAA
rnacentral:rRNA from 1 species